AGCGAUGAAGCUCCUUCGCAGCUGGGUUACCUCCGGACAGGUGAGAAACGCGUGGGUAACCUGCCUCGUAGAGGGGAAUAGCCUCCCGAAAGGGAGAUUAAUACCCCAUAACGUAUGAAGGUCGCAUGACUUUUGUACCUAAGGACUCAUCCUCUCUGAUAUGGACCCGCGGCGCAUUAUCUAGUUGGUGAGGUAAGGGCUCACCAAGGCAACGAUGCGUAGCCGACCUGAGAGGGUGAUCGGCCACUUUGGAACUGAGACACGGUCCAGACUCCUACGGGAGGCAGCUGUGGGGAAUAUUGCAUAAUGGGGGAAACCCUGACGCAGCAACGCCGCGUGAAUGAAGAAGGCCUUAAGUUUGUAAAGUUCUGUCAUAUGGGAAGAUAAUGACGGUACCAUAUGAGGAAGCCACGGCUAACUACGUGCCAGCAGCCGCGGUAAUACGUAGGUGGCAAGCGUUGUCCGGAUUUACUGGGCGUAAAGGAUGCGUAUGCUCGACAUUUAAGUCGGAUGUGAAUUACCCGGGCUCAACUUGGGUGCUGCACUUGAAUCUGGGUGUCUAGAGUGCAGGAGAGGAAAGCGGAAUUCCUAGUGUAGCGGUGAAAUGCGUAGAGAUUAGGAAGAACACCC
rnacentral:rRNA from 1 species